rnacentral:rRNA from 1 species
GAUGAACGCUGGCGGCGUGCCUAAUACACGCAAGUCGAGCGAACAGAUGAGGAGCUUGCUCCUCUGACGUUAGCGGCGGACGGGUGAGUAACACGUGGAUAACCUACCUAUAAGACUGGGAUAACUUCGGGAAACCGGAGCUAAUACCGGAUAAUAUAUUGAACCGCAUGGUUCAAUAGUGAAAGACGGUUUUGCUGUCACUUAUAGAUGGAUCCGCGCCGCAUUAGCUAGUUGGUAAGGUAACGGCUUACCAAGGCAACGAUGCGUAGCCGACCUGAGAGGGUGAUCGGCCACACUGGAACUGAGACACGGUCCAGACUCCUACGGGAGGCAGCAGUAGGGAAUCUUCCGCAAUGGGCGAAAGCCUGACGGAGCAACGCCGCGUGAGUGAUGAAGGUCUUCGGAUCGUAAAACUCUGUUAUUAGGGAAGAACAAAUGUGCAAGUAACUAUGCACGUCUUGACGGUACCUAAUCAGAAAGCCACGGCUAACUACGUG